GACGAACGCUGGCGGCGUGCUUAACACAUGCAAGUCGAGCGGAAAGGCCCUUCGGGGUACUCGAGCGGCGAACGGGUGAGUAACACGUGAGUAACCUGCCCCAGACUUUGGGAUAACCCUCGGAAACGGGGGCCAAUACCGGAUACGACACAGCUUCGCAUGGGGUCUGUGUGGAAAGUUUUUCGGUUUGGGUUGGGCUCGCGGCCUAUCAGCUUGUUGGUGGGGUGAUGGCCUACCAAGGCGACGACGGGUAGCCGGCCUGAGAGGGCGACCGGCCACACUGGGACUGAGACACGGCCCAGACUCCUACGGGAGGCAGCAGUGGGGAAUAUUGCACAAUGGGCGGAAGCCUGAUGCAGCGACGCCGCGUGAGGGAUGACGGCCUUCGGGUUGUAAACCUCUUUCAGCAGGGACGAAGCGUAAGUGACGGUACCUGCAGAAGAAGCGCCGGCCAACUACGUG
rnacentral:rRNA from 1 species